UGGGGAAUAUUGGACAAUGGGCGCAAGCCUGAUCCAGCAAUGCCGCGUGUGUGAAGAAGGCCUUCGGGUUGUAAAGCACUUUUAUCAGGAGCGAAACGCUGUCGGCUAAUACCCGGCGGAACUGACGGUACCUGAGGAAUAAGCACCGGCUAACUUCGUGCCAGCAGCCGCGGUAAUACGAAGGGUGCAAGCGUUAAUCGGAAUUACUGGGCGUAAAGCGUGCGUAGGCGGUUUCUUAAGUCUGCUGUGAAAUCCCCGGGCUCAACCUGGGAAUGGCAGUGGAUACUGGGAGGCUAGAGUGUGUCAGAGGGUGGUGGAAUUCCCGGUGUAGCGGUGAAAUGCGUAGAGAUCGGGAGGAACAUCAGUGGCGAAGGCGGCCACCUGGGGACAACACUGACGCUGAGGCACGAAAGCGUGGGGAGCAAACAGGAUUAGAUACCCUGGUAGUCCACGCCCUAAACGAUGCGAACUGGAUGUUGGUCUCAACUCGGAGAUCAGUGUCGAAGCUAACGCGUUAAGUUCGCCGCCUGGGGAGUACNGUCGCAAGACUGAAACUCAAAUGAAUUGACGGGGUCAUAGCUG
rnacentral:rRNA from 1 species